GACGAACGCUGGCGGCGCGCUUAACACAUGCAAGUCGAACGGAAAGGCCUGCUUUCCCUUGUGGAUUGCGGGUACUCGAGUGGCGAACGGGUGAGUAACACGUGAGUGAUCUGCCCCCAACUUGGGUAUAAGCCUGGGAAACUGGGUCUAAUUCCCGAUAGGACUGCAGGGUGGUGCCUGUGGUGGAAAACGAUGUUCUAGUGGUUGGGGAUGAGCUCGCGGCCUAUCAGCUUGUUGGUGGGGUAAUGGCCUACCGAGGCGGCGACGGGUAGCCGGCCUGGGAGGGUGGACGGCCACAUUGGGACUGAGAUACGGCCCAGACGCCUACGGGAGGCAGCAGUGGGGAAUAAUGCGCAAUGGGCGGAAGCCUGAUGCAGCGACGCUGCGUGGGGGAUGCCGGCCUUCGGGUUGUAGACUCCUUUCGACCGCGAGGAAGCCACCUGGUUGGAAGGGUGGUGACGGUAGUGGUAGAAGAAGCACCGGCUAACUACGUG
rnacentral:rRNA from 1 species